rnacentral:lncRNA from 1 species
UUUUGUGGGGUGGGGGGAAAGGGGAGGGUCAGCAUUAGGACAAAUACCUAGUGAAUGCGAGGCUUAAAACCUAGAUGAUGGGUUGAUAGAUGCAGCAAACCACCAUGGCACAUGUACACCUAUGUAACAAACCUGCACAUCCUGCACAUGUGUCCUGGAACUUAAAGUAUAAAAAAAAAAAAAAAAAGAAAGAAAGAAAAGAAAAGAAAAAAAAAGAACGUAGCAACUAAGAGGACAGGGAAAAAGAAUGCUUCUCAGCUUCAGGGCAAAGGCUGAAGCCUAGGACAUCAUCAUAGCCACUCAGUUCCCUGUCCUAAGUGUCUUGCAAACAAUGAUUUCACUUCACGUUGACAUUAACCCUGUGAUGUGGAUACUAUUCCCAUUUUAUAAGAGGUAACUGAGGUUCAGAGAAACCAAGUAACUUGCUCAGAAUCAUUUGAUGAGUAAGGGGUGGGGCUGACUCCCCAGUCCCUGGUUCCUACCCAUGUGGUCAGAGUGCCUCCUCCAGUCACGCUGCCCUGUCUGUAGUUGAAUGAACUCCUCAUUCUUGCCAUUCUCAGUUGUCUUGUCUUUUCCCUUCUCUUCGUUCUCUCCUUUGUAAGCUUGGUAAUUGCAGAAAUCUCAUGGAGCAUGAAAAACUAGUUCACCAGCUGACUCAUAGUAGCACUCAAUAAACACUUGUUGGAAUGAUGGACGGAUGGACAAUUUUACAAAGAUAGGUGAUAAGGUGCUUACCCAGGAACUCAUGAAUUUUCUGUCCUCCAAUACACCCUCCCCCAUUGCCAGAUGUGUAGAAGGUUAGACCAGAAUGAUCCCACAUCCCAGUAUGCUCAGAACUACCCUUUACUCUUGCUGUCCCAGCAGCCCUUUCACUCUCUAAAGUGCCCCAGACUAGGGGAAGAGUCUGGAACUAAACAGAAGAUUCAGGAACCUAAAAGGGCAAGCCUGGGUGAAGUUGCUGUAAAGACAUACUCCACCCACCACCCUCCUCCCACUGGCUGCAGCAAGAAAAGCACCGGAGAGGCCCAGGCAGCUGACACUCAAGACGCCAUCUAGGUAAGGCCCUGGAAGGCAGGCCCAGCCCCAGCUCUCCAAAAGGGAUCCAGUCCCAGCUCUCCACCACCUCCUGGAACGGGGCCCAUCUCUAGCUCUCCACCACCUCCUGGAAGGGGGCCCAUCUCCAGUUCUCCACCACCUCCUGGAAAGGGAUCCAGCCCCAGCUCUUCACCACCUCCUGGAAGGGAGCCCAUCUCCAGCUCUCCACCACCUCCUGGAAGGUGACCCGUCUCCAGUUCUCCACCACCUCCUGGAAGGUGACCCAUCUCCAGUUCUCCACCACCUCCUGGAAGGUGACCCGUCUCCAGUUCUCCACCACCUCCUGAAGGUGACCCGUCUCCAGUUCUCCACCACCUCCUGGAAGGGGACCCAUCUCCAGCCCUCUGCCACCUCCUGGAAGGAGACCUACAUCUCCAGCUGAUAUGGUUUGGCUGAUAUGAUAUGAUUUGGCCCCACCCAAAUCUCCUCUUGAAUCGUAACUUCCACAAUUCCCAUGUGUCAUGGGAGGAACCCAGUGGGACCUGACUGAAUUAUGGGGGCGGAUCUUUCCUGUGUUGCUCUCAUGAUGCUGAGUGGGUCUCAUAAGAUCUGAUGGUUUUAAAAUGGGAGUUUCUUUGCACAAGCUGUCUCUCUGCCAUCCACGUAAGAUGUGACUUGCUCCUUGCCUUCCACCAUGAUUGUGAGGCCUCCCCAGCCAUGUGGAACUGUAAGUCCUUUAAAUCUCUUUCUUUUGUAAAUUGCCUAGUCUUGGAUAUGUCUUUAUCAGCAGCAUGAAAAUGGACUAAUACAAAGAAUUGGUACCAGGAGUGGGGUGCUGCUGAAAAGGUACCCAAAAAUGUGGAAGCGACUUUGGAACUGGGUAAUAGCAGAGAUUGGAACAGCUUGGAGGGCUCAGAAGAGGAAGGGAAAAUGUGGGAAAGUUUGGAACUUCCUAGAGACUUGUUGAACGGCUUUGCCCAAAAUGCUGAUAGCAAUAUGGACAAUAAAGUCCAGGCGGAGGUGGUCUUAGAUGGAGAUGGGGAACUUGUUGGCAACUGGAGCAAAGAAAGGGCGGAGGGUUAAAUCCUGACAACAAGUUGAAGCCUAAGACAAUAGAAGCCACUGUGAACAGCUGGAAGACUACAUUCAGCUUUCUGGAUCAGACAGAAUGGGGCUCAUGCCACAUCAUGAGGCCAUGAAGAAGCACAUGGAGAGGCACACCUGGUGAGGAACGGAGGCUUCCUGCCAACAACCAGUGAGUGAGCCACCUCAGCAGCAGAAUCCCAGCCCCAGUUCAGCCUUCAGAUGACUGUAGCCCCAGAUGACAUCUGAAGACCCCUAGCCAGAACACUUAGCUAAGCCAUUUUCAACUUCCUGCCCUCAGAAACUUUUUUUAAUAGAACACUGGAAUGCAAGGGAGAAGAUGGCUUCACAUAUGUACAAAACGCCCGUUGCUGCAGUUAUGUCUAGAAACUUGAGAGGAGACACUCUUGGAGAUGAAUGCUCAUGAAACUGGGAUGAAGUCUCUCUCCUCUUCCAACCUGCAAGUCUUGCUCUCUGGACAAUACCUGCCAGAACAGGAACUAUUUGAAGGAACAGGAACUAUUUAGAGCAACCACAGGGAAUGCUGGAGUCCAGCUGAACACAGCCUGAGCUCCUUGUCCUUGCUCUCCAGGGCACCCUCAAUCCACCAGAGUUGUUUUGUAAAAAUGUGCAAGUUGCCAUGAAGGCCUCCCAGCCUCAGGGCAUAACUCCUCAGACACUGGUUCUAUUAAAUACACCCCGAGAUGCGACAAAACAGUCGUGUGGGAGGGGGUGGUGGAAACCCUGUGCAGAGUGCUAUUGACAUAGAAGUCUGGGCUGCACAAAAUCUGCCAUCUGAAUCCAAUCACGGGAUUAUUUCCAAAAACAUCUCCCAAAGUUGCUAUACACAGGUAACCGCUUCUUAGUAAAUGCAAAAGAAAGCCAUGCUUUCUCAUAAAAUUGGAACACUGGGUCUCUUGUUGGUGAUGGUGGGUGUUUCUAGUUUGAUUACAUAUUGGAAGCAUUUCCUAGCAGGGGCCUCUGACAGUGUCUCCAAUGCUGAGAACAUGAAGGUGCUGCUUCUCUCCUCUUCACCUCCCACUUUCCCAGUCAUCUAGAUGUCAAAUGAAGCUCUGCAGAGAAAACAUAAGCCCCACAAGGGCAUGAAUGUGAAAGUGUGUGUGUGUGUGUGUGUGUGUUUGUUGGUGGCAGGUAGUGGGGGCUGAGACAACGGAGGAGACGGGAUGGGAGUGAGUAUACCUCAUCAAAGUAACUGACUUGGCAAAUACACUUAUGAAAUCUUUCUUGCAUAUUAAAGAAGUCACCCUCAUCCUUUAUAUAGUUUUUGUUGUCUCCAUUCCCCUUCCUCUUUGAAAAACGAAACACACAGAAAAAUAUAAAGGCUAAUAAAACACACACCUUGAAAUGACCAAAUGUUAUCCUUUUGUCGUACUGGCUUCAGAUUUUUCUAUCAUGAAGUAAAUACAAAUGACAGAUAGUUACAUCUCCUUCGUUCUCCCUGAUCCUGUUCACUUCUCUCCCUCCCCUUAGGUAAGGACCAUCAUGAAGUUCCUGUUUUACUUUCUAAUUCUUUUAGCACACAAACACAUUCAUAAACAAUGUCUGAAUUAUUGUUCUGUGUGAGUUGACAUGCAUUGGUACUUAUUCAGCUUGCUGUAUUCACUCAGCCAGGGCCACAGGUUGG